UGGGGAAUAUUGGACAAUGGAGGCAACUCUGAUCCAGCCAUGCCGCGUGAAUGAUGAAGGCCUUAGGGUUGUAAAAUUCUUUCGCUAGGGAAGAUAAUGACGGUACCUAGUAAAGAAGCCCCGGCUAACUCCGUGCCAGCAGCCGCGGUAAUACGGAGGGGGCUAGCGUUGUUCGGAAUUACUGGGCGUAAAGCGUGCGUAGGCGGAAUGGAAAGUUAGGUGUGAAAUCCCAGGGCUCAACCCUGGAACUGCACUUAAAACUCCCAUUCUAGAGUUCUGGAGAGGUAAGUGGAAUUCCUAGUGUAGAGGUGAAAUUCGUAGAUAUUAGGAGGAACACCAGAGGCGAAGGC
rnacentral:rRNA from 1 species